GAUGAAUGCUGGCGGCGUGCCUAAUACAUGCAAGUCGAGCGAACGGACGAGAAGCUUGCUUCUCUGAUGUUAGCGGCGGACGGGUGAGUAACACGUGGAUAACCUACCUAUAAGACUGGGAUAACUUCGGGAAACCGGAGCUAAUACCGGAUGAUAUUUUGAACCGCAUGGUUCAAAAGUGAAAGACGGUCUUGCUGUCACUUAUAGAUGGAUCCGCGCUGCAUUAGCUAGUUGGUAAGGUAACGGCUUACCAAGGCAACGAUGCAUAGCCGACCUGAGAGGGUGAUCGGCCACACUGGAACUGAGACACGGUCCAGACUCCUACGGGAGGCAGCAGUAGGGAAUCUUCCGCAAAGGGCGAAAGCCUGACGGAGCAACGCCGCGUGAGUGAUGAAGGUCUUCGGAUCGUAAAACUCUGUUAUUAGGGAAGAACAUAUGUGUAAGUAACUGUGCACACCUUGACGGUACCUAAUCAGAAAGCCACGGCUAACUACGUG
rnacentral:rRNA from 1 species